rnacentral:rRNA from 1 species
GAUGAACGCUAGCGGCAGGCCUAAUACAUGCAAGUCGAACGGUGUCUUCGGACAUAGUGGCGCACGGGUGCGUAACACGUAUGCAACCUACCUUACAUUGGGGGAUAGCCUUUCGAAAGGGAGAUUAAUACCGCAUAAGACAGUAGCUGGGCAUCCAGCAGCUGUUAAAGAUUUAUCGAUGUAAGCUGGGCAUGCGUCCAAUUAGCUAGUUGGUGAGGUAACGGCUCACCAAGGCAAUGAUUGGUAGGGGAACUGAGAGGUCAAUCCCCCACCCUGGCACUGAGAUACGGGCCAGACUCCUACGGGAGGCAGCAGUAGGGAAUAUUGGGCAAUGGACGCAAGUCUGACCCAGCCAUGCCGCGUGCAGGAUGAAGGCGUUAUGCGUUGUAAACUGCUUUUAUACAGGAAGAAACGACUCUUGCGAGAGGCAUUGACGGUACUGUAUGAAUAAGCACCGGCUAACUCCGUGCCAGCCGCCGCUGUAAAAC